GGCCGCUACAUCCUGCGUUAAAUUCCAUGGGUUCAAUAAACAAAAUUGCUACAUUCGGGCUUGCCCCCCACCUAAGCCUACAAAGCUUUGGGCCUCAUUCCCAAUGGUUCCCUCAUUCUGAGGCGGGCAGAAAAUCAGGCGAGGUGAGCGGCCAAAUCGGAAUCUUUUAAGGCGCCCCCAGGGGACGCCGGCCACGCCAGGCACAGGAGUUGCUCCUCACAGCGAGUCUGGAGCGGCCUAUACGCGCGGCGCUUCCUCUCCGACCCGAGGCCCAGACCCUCAGCACAGAGGGAGCGGUGAGUCCGGCCAGGGUCGCAUCCCCAUUACUCCUCCUCGCCAGCCUUUUCCCUGAACCCAGGGAUCCCGGGACUCAUCCCUCCGACCAAGGCAUUCACAAUGUGAGCAUCCUGUCCUUGAAGAAGUCCAGAGAAAACAUAGAUGUGAAAGCCCACAACAUGAAAGGAACGAGAAAGCACAUAUCUACUUGUGUAUUUCUUAAAUAUGAAAGAGAAGAAGAAUAGAAGAGUGAGAAGUGGCUCUGAAAAUCAGAAGGCCUAAGACCUAUGACAGAAUGUACAGAUGUGUCUACUUUACCACUUCGAAAAGAAAGAAGUUCUCAAAGUACAUAUUCCACCUCCUGAACAUUGAAAAGAAGUACAGUAUUUUACUCCAUUUGAGCAUAUUUAUAUUCUUAAAGUUUGAGUAAACAAAUGAGAAGUUUAAGUGAAACCAAGGAGAAAGCUAAGGGGAAAAUGGCAAUAAAUUACUUCUGUGUGUGAUAA